rfam:Drosophila grimshawi strain TSC#15287-2541.00 scaffold_15245 genomic scaffold, whole genome shotgun sequence.
CCAUUUUCAGGAUGGAAGCUGUGACAAUAUGUAGGUUUUAAUUAAUUUAUAUUUCAUAUAUUGCACACCUCCCGGCCUAUAAAUGA